rnacentral:rRNA from 1 species
AUUGAACGCCGGCGGCAUGCCUUAUACAUGCAAGUCGAACGGCAGCACGGGAGCUUGCUCCUGGUGGCGAGUGGCGAACGGGUGAGUAAUACAUCGGAACGUACCCAGGAGUGGGGGAUAACGUAGCGAAAGUUACGCUAAUACCGCAUAUUCUGUGAGCAGGAAAGCGGGGGAUCGCAAGACCUCGCGCUCUUGGAGCGGCCGAUGUCGGAUUAGCUAGUUGGUGAGGUAAAAGCUCACCAAGGCGACGAUCCGUAGCAGGUCUGAGAGGAUGAUCGGCCACACUGGGACUGAGACACGGCCUAGACUCCUACGGGAGGCAGCAGUGGGGAAUUUUGGACAAUGGGGGCAACCCUGAUCCAGCCAUGCCGCGUGAGUGAAGAAGGCCUUCGGGUUGUAAAGCUCUUUCGGCGGGGAAGAAAUGGCAACGGCUAAUAUCCGUUGUUGAUGACGGUACCCGCAUAAGAAGCACCGGCUAACUACGUGCCAGCCGCCGCAGUAA